CUCCCGAGGAGGAUGGUAUCGACAUUUCAAAAACAGUUUAAUUAUUCUGCGGCUGCCUGGCUAUUAGCUGCGACAAGAGAGCUCAGGGCUAUUUUUCAGCAUUAAUUUUCCAUUUGAAAUGAAUUCCUUUUGGUUACACUUUUUAAAUGUUUCUUUUAAUUAGACGCAAUUACUUCAGAAGAAUUGCUUUUAUUCCUCAGCCUGAGAUCCCAGCGAUAAAGUCGCUAUCUGGCCCCACCGAACGGCCGGGACGGCUCAUUUAGUCUCUGCACUAAAGUAUAUUGAACUAGGAAAUUAUACAGCGAAUCAACUAUUAAUUCCUUUUAUGAUCGCUCACUCUAACAUCUUGAAUGAGAUCUUCAGGGGGAAAUUUAGUCACAAUAGGGAUCAUUGUCUCCCCCCACCCCCUCCGCCCUCGCCACCCUUCCAGCCCUCCGCCUAGUGUGAGGGGAGCUAUCCUGGUGAUGGUCAAGGCACAGGGGCAGGAUGCCACGGGGCUCAUGGUUUUCCUGGGGUCUUUGGGGGUAGGGGGUAGAUAGUACGGCGGAAGCUGCUUUGCUGAAGGAGUCCCUUUUCAGACCUCAAGAAGAAGGAGGAUACUGUGACUAUGUGGAGACAAAGUAUCCCUGCCUUUGAAGACAGAGCCUCACAAUGUAGCCCUGAAUGGCUGGAACUCCUUGUAUACCAGGCUGGCCUUGACAUCACAGAUAUCGGCUCAUCUCUGCUUCCUAGGUACGGGGAUUAAAGACGUUAGUCAACCACAGCUUGCCAAAGGGCCUGGAGGUAGGGGACCACCACUACCUGUGUGUUCUUGGUCUGGGAGGUGACCCUGGCAGUGAAGAUGACUACAGGGGAAAUGGAGCAGGAUCUGAUCCCAUAGAAGAGGUCUUCUGAGUCCAUCGGAAUGAUGGGAGAUUGGGUUGCAUGAUGCUUGGAAAGUUCUUAGCAUACUGCUGAUGUUGGAGGAAGUGCUUACAGUAGACUGUUGUUAUUAUCAUCAUUAGUACUGGCUAUUAUUACAAUACCCAUCACUUUUGUAGUCAUCAUCGUCUUCAUCGUCAUCAUCAUCAUUGUCAUCAUCUUCACUAGGCAUGGCCAGGUGAGGCAGAGGUGUCUACCUGGGCCCCGAAAUUUCAUACCUUCUCUUUCAUAAUAUAAGAACAGCUGCCCAGACAGGAACUACAUUUCCCAUACUCCCAUGCGUGUGUGGGACCACAUGACUAAUUCUCAUUAGUGGACUGUGAACAGAAACAUAGCACAGGACAUAACAAGAUGAGUCCACUUUCUCUCUUCUCUCCUCCUCUACCAUCUGUGGAGAACCAGAGGACUCUGAGGCCCCCUAGGGAGUCUAGUCAUCCUGACUUCAAUGACCACAGUUCAAUUUUGCUUAUUCUUGAGUAUCAUGUAAAAGGAAUCAUAUAAAUACUUAUCAUUUUUCUACCUUCAUAUUUUGUAUUUUUGUAACUUCAUAUUUAUUCUUUGCUUUGCUAUUGUGUAGUAUUUGAAUAUAUCACACUCUAUUCCUUUCAUGUUCUUAUUGCUGGGGGCUUGUACUAUCUCCAGUGUUUAAUUAUUAUAAAUAAAACCACAAUGAGUA